CGUAGGUGGCCUGUUAAGUCGAACGUGAAAUCCCCGGGCUCAACCCGGGAACUGCGUCCGAGACUGGCAGGCUCGAAUCCGGGAGAGGGAUGCGGAAUUCCAGGUGUAGCGGUGAAAUGCGUAGAUAUCUGGAGGAACACCGGUGGCGAAGGCGGCAUCCUGGACCGGUAUUGACGCUGAGGCGCGAAAGCCAGGGGAGCAAAACGG
rnacentral:rRNA from 1 species